GAGAGUCGAGCGGUUGACGGGAGCUUGCUCCCUGAUUCAGCGGCGGACGGGUGAGUAAUGCCUAGGAAUCUGCCUAUUAGUGGGGGACAACGUUUCGAAAGGAACGCUAAUACCGCAUACGUCCUACGGGAGAAAGCAGGGGACCUUCGGGCCUUGCGCUAAUAGAUGAGCCUAGGUCGGAUUAGCUAGUUGGUGGGGUAAUGGCUCACCAAGGCGACGAUCCGUAACUGGUCUGAGAGGAUGAUCAGUCACACUGGAACUGAGACACGGUCCAGACUCCUACGGGAGGCAGCAGUGGGGAAUAUUGGACAAUGGGCGAAAGCCUGAUCCAGCCAUGCCGCGUGUGUGAAGAAGGUCUUCGGAUUGUAAAGCACUUUAAGUUGGGAGGAAGGGCAGUAAGUUAAUACUUUGCUGUUUUGACGUUACCGACAGAAUAAGCACCGGCUAACUCUGUGCCAGCUGCCGCGGUAAUACAGAGGGUGCAAGCGUUAAUCGGAAUUACUGGACUAAACGCGCGCGUAGGUGGUUUGUU
rnacentral:rRNA from 1 species